rnacentral:rRNA from 1 species
AUUGAACGCUGGCGGAAUGCUUUACACAUGCAAGUCGAACGGCAGCACGGGAGCAAUCCUGGUGGCGAGUGGCGAACGGGUGAAUAAAGUAUCGGAACGUGCCCAGUCGUGGGGGAUAACGUAGCGAAAGUUACGCUAAUACCGCAUACGAUCUAUGGAUGAAAGCGGGGGAUCGCAAGACCCUGCCCGAUUGGAGCGGCCGAUAUCAGAUUAGGUAGUUGGUGGGGUAAAGGAUCACCAAGCCGACGAUCUGUAGCUGGUCUGAGAGGACGACCAGCCACACUGGGACUGAGACACGGCCCAGACUCCUACGGGAGGCAGCAGUGGGGAAUUUUGGACAAUGGGCGCAAGCCUGAUCCAGCCAUGCCGCGUGCAGGAUGAAGGCCUUCGGGUUGUAAACUGCUUUUGUACGGAACGAAAAGGUUUGACUUAAUACGUUGGACUCAUGACGGUACCGUAAGAAUAAGCACCGGCUAACUACGUGCCAGCCGCCGCCGUAA